AGCGGGGGAUAACUACGCAGACAGCGUGGCUAAUACCGCAUACGCCCUUUGGGGGAAAGCGGGGGACCUUCGGGCCUCGCACUAUUGGAGCGGACGAUAUCGGAUUAGCUAGUUGGUGAGGUAAAGGCUCACCAAGGCGACGAUCCGUAGCUGGUUUGAGAGGACGACCAGCCACACUGGGACUGAGACACGGCCCAGACUCCUAUCUGGAGGAAGCAGUGGGGAAUUUUGGACAAUGGGGGCAACCCUGAUCCAACCAAUCCCGCGUGUGCGAUGAAGGCCUUCGGGUUGUAAAGCACUUAUGGCAGGGCAGCACUGGUGCCGGUGAAUACCCGGCGCCGCUGACGGUACCUGCCGACUAAGCACCGGCUAACUACGUGACAGCAGCCGAGGUAAUACGUAGGGUGCAAGCGUUAAUCGGAAUUACUGGGCGUAAAGCGUGCGCAGUCGGCUCGGAAAGAAAGAUGUGAAAUCCCAGGGCUUAACCUUGGAAUGGCAUUUUUAACUCCCGAGCUAGAGUAUGUCAGAGGGGGGUAGAAUUCCACGUGUAUCAGUGAAAUGCGUAGAGAUGUGGAGGAAUACCGAUGGCGAAGGCAGCCCCCUGGGAUAAUACUGACGCUCAUGCACGAAAGCGUGGGGAGCAAACAGGAUUAGAUACCCUGGUAGUCCACGCCCUAAACGAUGUCAACUAGCUGUUGGGGCCUUCGGGCCUUAGUAGCGCAGCUAACGCGUGAAGUUGACCGCCUGGGGAGUACGGUCGCAAGAUUAAAACUCAAAGGAAUUGACGGGGACCCGCACAAGCGGUGGAUGAUGUGGAUUAAUUCGAUGCAACGCGAAAAACCUUACCUACCCUUGACAUGUC
rnacentral:rRNA from 1 species